AAAGCAGCAAAAGAUAUGUAUCAUCCAACUAGAGGUGGCGUUCGCGGUGGUCGAGAUCAAUUUAGCUGGGAUGAUGUGAAGGCUGAUAAACAUCGAGAAAAUUAUAUAGGUCAUAGUAUCAAAGCACCAGUUGGGAGAUGGCAGAAAGGUAAGGAAGAAGUUUAGUAUAAUCAUGGAUGACAUCAACAAUAGCUUAUAGGAUGAUGUUUGAUGGUGCAUGUACAUGCUGAUGAUAUUGUGGCUAUUGAUGGAGUUAAAGCAUGUACAAAAGGAGCAGUUAAAAGUGUGAGAACAGUGGGAGGAGAUGUAAAGGAAUUUGCAAUUUUCUUUUAAACAAGUAAGGAAGAUGUUAGUAUAAUCGUGGGUGUAUACCCAGGGUCUUCUGUAAGCUUGAGUUUAAUUACACUAAUGUUGGAUGAGACCAACAAUAGUUUGUAGGAUGAUGUUAGAUGGUUCAUGUACCUGCUAAUGAUAUUGUGUCAAUUGAUGGGGUUCAUACCUAAAUGACAUGUGAAAAGAAAAAAGUAAUCAAAA